CACCAGGACAGGCUUCAGAAAAAUGGAAAAUUGAUCUAACAAGGAAGAAGUAUUAUGAAGCAAUGUUAAAAAGAAAUUGGUAAUAAUUGCCAACAGAGAAAACCCUUCAAAGAGAGUUGCUGCUUUUCCUAAGGGUUUCCAAGGAUCCAAAAACCUUCGGAAGUUCCAAGGAUCAAGUCCCAGGAUCUAAGCUGGACCUUUCCUGGAACAAAUUCCUUCAGACAAAUUCUCCACCAGACCAUCAACUCAGGAGGGCAAACAAGGAACUUGUUUUCAAGAGCUGGAGCCAAACCACCCAGAGUUUCCUGUGCCAGGUGAGCAUGAAGAGGGGCCGAAGUCACCCAUUACUAACCCCUCACCCAUGACUGCCUGAAAGGUAUGUCUCAGGCUUUAACCAUGAAACCUGUUUCCUCUCUCCCCUCCAAAGUCCAGCCCAGAGAGGCAUGAUAAAAUCACUUAGCAAAUGGAAAAUAUUUUGUGCUUAUUCUAAGAAAUGUGAUCCAUCAAAAAUGAGCUGACAAGUCAUUUCAUUUCCAAGGACAGUGUCCACAUACUCCAGGCAGCCUCUGGACCUGGAAUAAGACACAUCUAAGCCACAGGCCAGUAAGGACCAUACAGCUAUAACGUUAUGAGUGAUUCUGUAGCAUGGUUUUAAGGCACCAGCUGCACAGUCAGACUGCCUGGUUUCAGCCCAGCUCCCUCAUUUGCUAGCUGUGAAAACUGGGUGAAUUGCUUAAGCAACCCUUAAUGACAUUUUGUUGUUUUAAAAACGGCAAUAAUAAUAAUACUCCCUUCUUCAUAUGAUUGUUUUGAGAUUUGGAUAAGGCAAUAGGUGCUUUAUUCGAUAAGGACCCUAGAACAUACAAAUCUAUUUUAAAAAUGCUAUUAAUAUGGUUUUGCCCUAAAAAGGCAGGUUCUUCUGUUUCUCAAAUCUGACAAAGUUUUGUCAGACUCUUGAAUUCUCAUUAAUAGUUCCAACACAGACUAUUAAUGCUGUUAGUUUUGACCAAAUACAUGACUCAUGAAUUAACUAACUCUUACUUGGUAAUCUGAAGGAAUCAAUAAAAUCCACACUUAAUUCCCCCUAAAUCAACUGAACAACUAUGGACUAUGGAAUUGGGGAGAUCUGUCUAAAUGGCAGCAAUAUCAACUACGAAAAAUAUUUAUUUAGAGUCUGGGUAGGUACCAAGUUCAAUGAACUGCUUAGAGAGUCUGUGUUGCUUUGGUGACUGUUCUAGGCAGUGCUAAUUUUGCUACAAUUUCCUUUCUUAAGUAAGUCACAACCAGAAUAAAAACAAAGUUCUAGAAAUCCCAUAUUUUUACAAACUGGAUUGAUGAAACCAGUUUUUAAAAUAUCAGAGGACCAGACUGAAAAAGAAACCAGGUGUAGCAAAAGGCAACUCUUCUGGAAACUGAAAAUUCAAAGAAACAUGGUAAUCUCACUGUAUUAAUUUUCUUUUCCUCUUGUAACAAAUUACCACAAGCUUAGUGGCUUAAAACAACACAAAUUUAUAUCCUACAGUUUGUGGAGAAGUAUGAAGUGGGUCUUCCAGGGCUAAAAUCAGUGCUGGUAGAGAGGGGGUACAGAGAAUCUGUUCCUAUUCUUUUCAGCUUCUAGAGAAAGCCUGGGUUCCUUGGCUCAAAGUUUCUUCCAGCAGGGGCAUCUCUCUGACCUCUGUUUCCACUGCCUCAGCUCCUACUCUCACUCGAACCCUCCUGCAUCCCUCUUAUAGGAACCCUUGUGAUUACACUGAGCCUUCUCAAUCAAUGCAGGAUAAUCUUCUAUCUAUCUCAAGACCCGUAAUGUAAUCACAUCUGCAAAGUCCCUUUUGCCAUUUGAGGUAACAAAUCCAUAGGCUCCAAGAAUUAAGAUAUGGACAUCUUUUAGGGGACCAUUCUUCUGACUACCAUACUCCCCUAGCUGAAGAAUUAUUGUGUGAAACAGGGAUAAAGGCAGAACUAAUAUAAAUGAGUCAAAGUGGCCAGGAGGUGAAAUUUGGCUCCAAACAGAAGAAUCUCAAUAAUGAUAAGAGGUGAGUGAAAAAGGACAGGAGCUUUUGAGGAGGAUGUGGGCUCUUUAUCACUAGGGCUGAGCCUCUCUUUCUAAACAUUCACUCCCUCUGCCCAUGUUGGGGUUUUGAUUGCAUGGCAUUUGAGGGUCUUUCCAAUUUUAAGCUUCCAGGUCUUUGAAAAUUUGGAAGGUGUGUCAGUCAGUGUAUAGGCUAGGCUAUGCUGGGUAACAACCAAUCCCCCAAAUCUCAGUGAUUUCAAUCAACACAUCCAUUGUUGGACUGCAUUAGCUCUGGUCGUUGUGGUCCUCUAGGGACUAAAGAGACACCACCACUGCAGACAUAGCUAGCCACAGUGCCAGCAGGAUAGAGAGUUCUGGAGGGUCUAGAAAGAGCAACUGAUACCCUGGUCCACAAGGGUCACACAACACUUACACUAACAGCUCCUCAGUCAGAACUAGUCACAAGUCUCUGGCCAACUAAAAGGAAGACCAGGAUAAAGAGCCAAUCUGGAAGGCAAAGAAACAGAAAUAUUGACGAGUGCAAAUAGUGACUGUGACAGGAAACAAUUGACCCUCUCCAUCAAUCAAUUCACAGAUUUUAGUCAUAAAAGGAGUCAUAAAACUCUUUUGACCCCUAAAGAGUUUUUCUAAACAGGGUGACGGUCAAUCGAUUAUCCUAGGCUCACUGAUGCAACAAGAUUGUCUUAAGCAUGUUCUUCUUUCUUGAUUUUAGCUCCAUGGUUAGGGUUUCACUUUCAAAAGAUUAAUAAUAAGGUGAUAAUGAUGAUGAUAAUGAUGAUGAUGAUGGUAAUGCAUGCUUUUUGAAAAUCACAGUGUACUGAGCAUUGUACUCAGCAUUUUCCACAUUUAUUUUUUGAAUCUCAGGCAUAGAGGCAUGAGUGAAUCACACUUCUGAUUUCAUAGCAUACUUCUAUUGUAAGACUCAUACAAAGACUCUCUCAUGGUGUAUUUUAUUCAUGUGUCCCCUCUCCUCAUUUUAUCAACCAUAAUGUCUUUGAUAUGAUACCUUAAUAUUUUGUAUAUUUUUGCAAAUUGUAUAGUGUUGUUGUUAUGUAGGUAUUUUUAAUUCUAUAAAAGUAUAUUCAUGUAUACUGGUUCUGUUUAUUUCUUCCUUACAUUCGGAUCUUACUGCAUUUAUGAGUAUAUGUCUCACGUAGUUAAUGUCUUAUAACAGUAACGUAAUAUUCCAUACUGUGUGUCCAUUAUAGUUCCCUUAGCUUUUCCCCUGCAAUGGAACAUCUAGGUUGUCUAAUGUUCCCUGAUACUUUAAACCAGGGGUCAGCAAACAUUUUUUAUAAAGAGUGACACAGUAAAUAUAUUUGGCUUUGGGGGUUCUGAAGUCUUGGUUUUAAGGAUUUUGCUGCUGUUAUACCAUAAAAGCAGCCAUAGACAGUGCACAAAUACAUGCCUGUGGACAUAUUUGGCCCAUUGGUCAUAUUUGACAAUCCCUAGUUCAAACACCAUGGUGAUGAAUAUCCUCUAUGUGUUCCCUUAUGAAAUUGGGGCUAGAUGUUCUCUCAAAUAUACUGUACAAACAAGAGUGAGAUUGCAGCAUCAUAAGAUAUGCCCAAACAUCAUUAGACUAAGUAUUUCUGGUUGCAUCAGCCUGUUCUCUUAACAACAGUUAAUAAAAAUAAGAGCCCUCAGAAAUAACGCCGCAUAUCUACAACUAUCUGAUCUUUGACAAACCUGAGAAAAACAAGCAAUGGGGAAAGGAUUCCCUAUUUAAUAAAUGGUGCUGGGAAAACUGGCUAGCCAUAUGUAGAAAGCUGAAACUGGAUCCCUUCCUUACACCUUAUACAAAAAUCAAUUCAAGAUGGAUUAAAGACUUAAACAUUAGACCUAAAACCAUAAAAACCCUAGAAGAAAACCUAGGCAUUACCAUUCAGGACAUAGGCAUGGGCAAGGACUUCAUGUCUAAAACACCAAAAGCAAUGGAAACAAAAGCCAAAAUUGACAAAUGGGAUCUAAUUUAACUAAAGAGCUUCUGCACAGCAAAAGAAACUACCAUCAGAGUGAACAGGCAACCUACAAAAUGGGAGAAAAUUUUCGCAACCUACUCAUCUGACAAAGGGCUAAUAUCCAGACUCUACAAUGAACUCAAACAAAUUUACAAGGAAAAAACAAACAACCCCAUCAAAAAGUGGGUGAAGGACAUGAACAGACACUUCUCAAAAGAAGACAUUUAUGCAGCCAAAAAACACAUGAAAAAAUGCUCACCAUCACUGGCCAUCAGAGAAAUGCAAAUCAAAACCACAAUGAGAUACCAUCUCACACCAGUUAGAAUGGCAAUCAUUAAAAAGUCAGGAAACAACAGGUGCUGGAGAGGAUGUGGAAAAAUAGGAACACUUUUACACUGUUGGUGGGACUGUAAACUAGUUCAACCAUUGUGGAAGUCAGUGUGGUGAUUCCUCAGGGAUCUAGAACUAGAAAUACCAUUUGACCCAGCCAUCCCUUUACUGGGUAUAUACCCAAAGGACUAUAAAUCAUGCUGCUAUAAAGACACAUGCACACGUAUGUUUAUUGCGGCACUAUUCACAAUAGCAAAGACUUGGAACCAACCCAACUGUCCAACAAUGAUAGACUGGAUUAAGAAAAUGUGGCACAUAUACACCAUGGAAUACUAUGCAGCCAUAAAAAAUGAUGAGUUCAUGUCUUUGUAGGGACAUGGAUGAAAUUGGAAAUCAUCAUUCUCAGUAAACUAAACUAUCGCAAGAACAAAAAACCAAACACCGCAUAUUCUCACUCAUAGGUGGGAACUGAACAAUGAGAUCACAUGGACACAGGAAGGGGAACAUCACACUCUGGGGACUGUGGUGGGGUGGGGGGAGGGGGGAGGGAUAGCAUUGGGAGAUAUACCUAAUGCUAGAUGACGAGUUAGUGGGUGCAGCGCACCAGCAUGGCACAUGUAUACAUAAGUAACUAACCUGCACAAUGUGCACAUGUACCCUAAAACUUAAAGUAUAAUAAUAAAAGAAAAAAAAGAAAAUAUUAUGAUCAUCUUCUAUAGAAGGAAAAUUUUAGUAUAAAAUUUAAAGAUGCUUACCACUAAAUAAAUAUAUUCUAUAAAAUUUAAAAAAAUAAAAAAUAAAAAGUAAAAG